rnacentral:rRNA from 1 species
CGCGGCCUAUCAGCUUGUUGGUGAGGUAAAGGCUCACCAAGGCAUUGACGGGUAGCUGGUCUGAGAGGACGAUCAGCCACACUGGGACUGAGACACGGCCCAGACUCCUGCGGGAGGCAGCAGUGGGGAAUCUUGCGCAAUGGGCGAAAGCCUGACGCAGCAACGCCGCGUGGGGGAUGAAGGCUCUCGGGUUGUAAACCCCUUUCAGCAGGGACGAAAUUGACGGUACCUGUAGAAGAAGCCCCGGCCAACUACGUGCCAGCAGCCGCGGUAACACGUAGGGGGCAAGCGUUGUCCGGAUUUAUUGGGCGUAAAGAGCUCGUAGGCGGUUGCGUAAGUCGGAUGUGAAAACUCAGGGCUCAACCCGGAGACGCCAUCCGAUACUGCGCUGACUAGAGUCCGGUAGAGGAGCAUGGAAUUCCUGGUGUAGCGGUGAAAUGCGCAGAUAUCAGGAGGAACACCAGUGGCGAAGGCGGUGCUCUGGGCCGGUACUGACGCUGAGGAGCGAAAGCGUGGGUAGCGAACAGGAUUAGAUACCCUGGUAGUCCACGCCGUAAACGUUGGGCACUAGGUGUGGGGCCUCCUUAACGGGUUCCGUGCCGUAGCUAACGCAUUAAGUGCCCCGCCUGGGGAGUACGG